UCACGGCGGCACCGACAAUAGAGACGUAAAAAAAUCGAGUGGAGUGACUUAGCUCCGGAGGAGGAGCGAAUGAACAGCGGAACGUGUCAACGAGUCGUUUCGGGUCUAAUUUUCGUCGGAUUGUUUCCUCCGUGUUCGGAUACCUGCACUCGUCGCUUCGAAAAGAUUCAGCCCUUUUUAAAUAGGGUUUAUUAUGAACUCUCCUGCCUACCUCCGGUUCUGGCAUAAUUCAACCAACGUAAGUUAACGCUUUCAUUUGCAUGUUUUUAACUACUUGUAAUCUCAUUAUAUUGAUACAUAUUGCUGACUUAUUACCGAUUAACCAGACCGAAUUCAACCCAUGAAAGGAACCUAACUGCAUCGAGUUGAAACUGACAAAAAACGGGUUGAAGUUUGAUCCCUUUUUUAGCUUUUUGUAAGUAAACCCCUAUUUUUAUAGCUC
rnacentral:lncRNA from 1 species